UUCAAAUCCCAGCAACCACAUGGUGGUGAAAGAACCUAGUGGGGAAACCCCCACUCAAUUCUCGAUUCGGCGCACACCCAAGAAUCACGAACAGACAA
rnacentral:pre_miRNA from 7 species